AAAAAAGAAUACGUUCGAAAAAUAUUUGAUGACAACAAGAAGCUCGUGAACUGCAUUAAGUGUGUGACCAUCGCUUGGAGAUUGGAAGGGACCACAUGGAGAAAAAAUGGAAUCGCACACCUCAGCAAUGACUGAAAAUUGAAUGGUCAGGAAUUUAUUUAUUUUUUAAAUCAGAUGGUCAAUUGCAUCGAUGGAUGUCCUUCCAGGAUGAAGGGGUGGUAGUUGGUAUAGAUAAUUAGAUUGGCCAUGUCUUUGUCAGGUUUUUCUUUUUCAGGUAAUGGAGAGAGAGCUGGCAGAAGAGGGGACUCACAAGAGCAUCGGUGGACAUUUAUCCGAAAAAUGCUGGAGAACAGCAUGUAGGGCUUUGUUGGUGCUGUCUUUGUCUUUUGCAGGUUGGAGUAGAGCAGAAGAAGGAGUCUUACAGGGGAAUGGUGGAGAUAUGGACCUUUUUCUUAGAAUGAAAAAUUACCCAUUUUGCUUUGCGUGUUUGCGUAAGGAGGAUGCUUCAAACUUCCGGUCGGCAGAUUGAUGCAUAUAAAGAGUCACAUUUGGACAGUUUUGAAACAAUAGAUUUAAUCUAUUUUACUUGCUUUUAACAUCUUUGAACUCAAACUGCUGUUAAUUAGCGUCACCUUCUUGACUGAUUAUGCAAAAAAUGCAAUCUAAUGGAAUGGAAAACUGCUGCGAGUCAUUUUCCCCUCAUCAUCAGAUGACAUCUUAUGCCAUUUAAAUAGAGCCUCGUCAUUGCUAAAGUCAACAUUUUCUCUUUUUUAAACAUAUGACCAACCCAAACAAAUGUAAUACACUAAAAUGUUUGACACACACAUGUACUGUCCCACUAACACAUUGAUUAAAAGUGGCACAAAGUGAAAAUAAA